rnacentral:rRNA from 1 species
AUUGAACGCUGGUGGCAGGCCUAACACAUGCAAGUCGAACGGUAGCACAGAGAGCUUGCUCUCGGGUGACGAGUGGCGGACGGGUGAGUAAUGUCUGGGAAACUGCCUGAUGGAGGGGGAUAACUACUGGAAACGGUAGCUAAUACCGCAUAACGUCGCAAGACCAAAGAGGGGGACCUUCGGGCCUCUUGCCAUCAGAUGUGCCCAGAUGGGAUUAGCUAGUAGGUGGGGUAAUGGCUCACCUAGGCGACGAUCCCUAGCUGGUCUGAGAGGAUGACCAGCCCCACUGGAACUGAGACACGGGCCAGACUCCUACGGGAGGCAGCAGUGGGGAAUAUUGCACAAUGGGCGCAAGCCUGAUGCAGCCAUGCCGCGUGUAUGAAGAAGGCCUUCGGGUUGUAAAGUACUUUCAGCGAGGAGGAAGGCAUUAAGGUUAAUAACCUUGGUGAUUGACGUUACUCGCAGAAGAAGCACCGGCUAACUCCGUGCCAGCCGCCGCCGUAAGAC